rnacentral:rRNA from 1 species
CUGACGCGUGUGCGAGUCUUAGGGUGACAGAAACCCUCCGGCGCAAUGAAAGUGAAGGCGAGUUCGGCUCGUCGAGGUGAGAUCCGUCCCACACCGGUUCGGCGCAUCAUCGUCCGACCGUUUCUACUCUUAGAAAGGUUUGAGAAAGAGCAUACGUGUUGGGACCCGAAAGAUGGUGAACUAUGCUUGAGUAGGGCGAAGCCAGAGGAAACUCUGGUGGAGGCUCGUAGCGAUUCUGACGUGCAAAUCGAUCGUCAAACUUGGGUAUAGGGGCGAAAGACUAAUCGAACCAUCUAGUAGCUGG